rnacentral:rRNA from 1 species
AUACGUAGGGGACGAGCGUUGUCCGGAAUUACUGGGCGUAAAGGGCGCGCAGGCGGAUAUUUAAGUCAGCUGUAAAAGGCAUGAGCUCAACUCAUGUAUGCGGUUGAAACUGGGUAUCUAGAGUGCUGGAGAGGUAGGCGGAAUUCCCGGUGUAGCGGUGAAAUGCGUAGAUAUCGGGAAGAACACCAGUGGCGAAGGCGGCUUAGUGGCAAGCAACUGACGCUGAGGCGCGAAGGCCAGGGGGGCGAACGGGAUGAGAUACCCCGGUAGUCCUGGCCGUAAGCGAUGAAUGCUAGGUGUGGGUGGCGAGAGGCAUCCGUGCCGUAGUUAACGCGAUAAGCAUUCCGCCUGGGGAGUACGGUCGCAAGAUUGAAACUCAAAGGAAUUGACGGGG